rnacentral:RNase_P_RNA from 1 species
GGGGGUGAAUGCAUGAUCGCUCCGGCGCAGGCCGGGGAGGAAAGUCCGAACACCGAAGGGCGCGGUGGUUCGUAACGCGAACACCGGGAAACCGGGGGAAAGUGCCACAGAAAAGACACCGCCGAUGGAACGCGCGAGCGCUCACAGGCAAGGUUGAAAUGGCGAGGUAAGAGCUCACCGCCCUCAUGGCGACAUGGGGGGCAGGGCAAACCCCACCGGGUGCAAGACCAAAUAGGGAGACGUUUGAGGGCGGCCCGUCCGAAGCCUCCGGGUAGGUUGCAUGAGAUGCCGGGCGACCGGCAUCCCAGAGAAAUGAUCAUGGUCCGUCCUCGGACGGAAACAGAAUUCGGCUUAUAAUUCACCCCCCUUU